rnacentral:rRNA from 1 species
CAAACUGGAGAUGGCGACCGGCGCACGGGUGAGUAACACGUAUCCAACCUGCCGAUAACUCGGGGAUAGCCUUUCGAAAGAAAGAUUAAUACCCGAUGGUAUAAUCAGACCGCAUGGUCUUGUUAUUAAAGAAUUUCGGUUAUCGAUGGGGAUGCGUUCCAUUAGGCAGUUGGUGAGGUAACGGCUCACCAAACCUUCGAUGGAUAGGGGUUCUGAGAGGAAGGUCCCCCACAUUGGAACUGAGACACGGUCCAAACUCCUACGGGAGGCAGCAGUGAGGAAUAUUGGUCAAUGGACGCGAGUCUGAACCAGCCAAGUAGCGUGAAGGAUGACUGCCCUAUGGGUUGUAAACUUCUUUUAUAUGGGAAUAAAGUUUUCCACGUGUGGAAUUUUGUAUGUACCAUAUGAAUAAGGAUCGGCUAACUCCGUGCCAGCAGCCGCGGUAAUACGGAGGAUCCGAGCGUUAUCCGGAUUUAUUGGGUUUAAAGGGAGCGUAGGUGGACAGUUAAGUCAGUUGUGAAAGUUUGCGGCUCAACCGUAAAAUUGCAGUUGAUACUGGCUGUCUUGAGUACAGUAGAGGUGGGCGGAAUUCGUGGUGUAGCGGUGAAAUGCUUAGAUAUCACGAAGAACUCCGAUUGCGAAGGCAGCUCACUGGACUGCAACUGACACUGAUGCUCGAAAGUGUGGGUAUCA